UCGUGGAGUGAUUUGUCUGCUUAAUUGCGAUAACGAACGAGACCUUAACCUGCUAAAUAGCCAGGCUAGCUUUGGCUGGUCGCUGGCUUCUUAGAGGGACUAUCGGCUCAAGCCGAUGGAAGUUUGAGGCAAUAACA
rnacentral:rRNA from 1 species